UGAGGAAAAGAGGCGGUUUUUGGCAUUCUAAACUCCACAAAAUAGAGAGAAAACAACCAAGAAUAAAAAGGAAAAGAGGGAGAAGAAGAUCAAGCAUUCAAACUCUUUAUCAUUUUGGAGACAAACACUACAACCAACAAUUGGAGAACAUCAUGAAUCUUAUGUCGCCAUUACCCUCUCGAGUGCACGGUUGGUUGGACGUAGAGCAUCGAAACCUAAGCAUAGUUGCUCAGACUCUUUCAAAGAAAGUCGAAGCAUUUGGCAAUUGGCAUGCUUGAAGUAUGAAACUUACAAGCGUUAGAGAUGACUAAUGAUGUGAUACACAUUGUGUGUACGAAUCUCUUGCUUUUUCGACGUUCAAGCUUCGUCUGAGUACUUCUCCGAGCAAGGCAUGGAUUGAUGUGAUUGCAAGUAGUAUUUAGGUGAAUUCAUAAUUCUUUCAACUACAUGUGGAAUUUUAGUGUUAAUUUGAAUCUAUACCCUAUUUCUGUAUCCACCUCCCAUGAUUAAUUGGUGUUAGUUUUUUCAAAAAAUAUGUUAAACUUUUUCAUCUUUUUUGAAUUAGUAAAUGUAAUUUUGUUGUAGUCAUUACCAAGUCUGGUAAAUGAUUACGUCUAUUCUUAAUUUUAGAAUAUUUUGGAGAAAUAAUAAACUGUGUUAUAUAUGAAUUCAAUUAUU